AUGAGCUCCAAAUUAAUUAAUAUCUUAACAGAGGGCAUUAGAUCUUAGUUUUACUCAAAUAACUAUAUAUACACUCUUCCAUUCUCAUUCAGUAAUCCAAUGUUGUGUUAAUAUGGCUAGUGGAAAAGAAUUGCUCAAAUUUGGCAUAAUUUUCACCAUUCUCUUUAUAGCAACUUCUGUUAAAAAUUCUUGCUCUUCAAGAGUAUCUCAAGUGCUGGCUUUCCAAAAGGUGCCAUCAAAUAUGAUGAUGAGUGUUUACUCGAAAUAAAUUUAUGCGUGGUAUAACUUGAUACAAAUUGAGAAAGAUAAAUAAAUGAAUAUUGAAAUUAGUCAUAAAAGAAAUGAAUUCAAACUGAAUGAAUCAGUUAGCCUAAACCUUCAAGUUGGACAGAGAGUAAUUGAUAGGAGAACAAUAUAACUAAAUAUCAAAGCCAGAGAAGAAUGGUGUAUUCCUUUGUGUUCUAUGAAUCUUAAUGAAUCUGCCAGCUUACAAAUGAUAACAGCCCAUAAUAUAGUGAGGAAAUCUUAUUUUGGAUAUAAUAAAAUAUAUAUCGUGAGGAUCUCAUGAUAGAUUAAUUAAUUAAUCUAUUUUUGAUUUGCGCCAUGAUUUUCGUCGAGAUUCCCCUCCUAAUUGCGGUCAUAACGGCUCUUUUGUCCCUUGGCUCGAUCUUGAUCCCGGCCGAUCUCGAUCUUGAUCGAUCUCUGAGUCUUAGAGCUCGAUCUUGGUCCCGAUCUCGAUCUUGAUCGGUCGUUCGAUCUCAAUCCUGACAACAUAUACUUCGCACCAUGUCUUGAUAUCACAAUGAUAAUCCUCGGACCACCACGUUCCAAUCUCGAUUAGUCAUACGAAGGACAAAUUCGAUUUUGACCGUAUACAAUUAGAAAAAAAUUAUUUUCUCUCACAAAUAUAAUAACUUGUGAAAAUAGUUGCAAUAUUGAUAGUGAUUGGAUUCGCACCAUGUCUCGAUAUUGAUAGUGAUUGCGAUGAUGGGCAUUGGCUCGUGUAAUCUAAUUCAUCGUUUGGAUAUCGGGAUAAGAGAUCAUAAUCUCGGAUUUUAAGAAAAAAUAUUUUUAUCUUUUUCCUUGCUAAUAUUAUGUAUUGUGAGUGAAAUGUCAGAACGACACAUGAAUAAUUGUACUUUUAAUAUAUUUUCUGGAAUAAUUAUACUUUUAAAAUUAAAGUGCA